GACGAACGCUGGCGGCGUGCUUAACACAUGCAAGUCGAACGGAAAGGCCCUGCUUUUGUGGGGUGCUCGAGUGGCGAACGGGUGAGUAACACGUGAGUAACCUGCCCUUGACUUUGGGAUAACUUCAGGAAACUGGGGCUAAUACCGGAUAGGAGCUCCUGCUGCAUGGUGGGGGUUGGAAAGUUUCGGCGGUUGGGGAUGGACUCGCGGCUUAUCAGCUUGUUGGUGGGGUAGUGGCUUACCAAGGCUUUGACGGGUAGCCGGCCUGAGAGGGUGACCGGCCACAUUGGGACUGAGAUACGGCCCAGACUGCUACGUGAGGCAGCAGUGGGGAAUAUUGCACAAUGGGCGGAAGCCUGAUGCAGCAGCGCCGCGUGCGUGAUGACGGCCUUCGGGUUGUAAACCGCUUUCGCCUGUGACGAAGCGUGAGUGACGGUAAUGAGUAAAGAAGCACCGGCUAACUACGUG
rnacentral:rRNA from 1 species